AUUGAACGCUAGCGGCAGGCCUAACACAUGCAAGUCGAACGAGUGGCGGACGGGUGAGUAAUGUCUGGGAACGUGCCUGGUGGAGGGGGAUAACUACUGGAAACGGUAGCUAAUACCGCAUACCAUCGGAUGUGCCCAUAUGGGAUUAGCUAGUGGGUGGGGUAACGGCUCACCAAGGCGACGAUCCCUAGCUGGUCUGAGAGGAUGACCAGCCACACUGGAACUGAGACACGGCCCAGACUCCUACGGGAGGCAGCAGUGGGGAAUAUUGCACAAUGGGCGCAAGCCUGAUGCAGCCAUGCCGCGUGUAUGAAGAAGGCCUUCGGGUUGUAAAGUACUUUCAGCGGGGAGGCGUUACCCGCAGAAGAAGCACCGGCUAACUACGUGCCAGCAGCCGCGGUAAUAC
rnacentral:rRNA from 1 species